rnacentral:lncRNA from 1 species
GUGUUUUCCAUCUCAUUAUGGCCACGACUUAGUAUUUUUAAAAUAAUCAUUUUGCCCAAACAUUAACCAAUAUGUUGCAACAGAGCAGAGGAACAGUCGGCAACAGGGCAUGCUUUCGCGAAUUUCUCAUCUUCUGGAAGUGAAAGGGCUGUUUCUAUUUUUAGUUUUCUCCCUGGAGGAUGGGCUCCUGGUCUGGGUGCUCUCCCUGUCUGCCUCGAGGGGAGCAGAGCAGAGCCUCCGGACCCUUCCCCAGCAUCCACACCCCUCGUUCACAGCCAUCCGAGAGGGGGAAAAGCCUCUCCCUUGAUGGCUUUGAGCACUCUCCUGGCCUGAGACAGAAGCCUGUGACCUGGGCAGGCAGGAAAUGGGACCCCUCCCAGCUCCAGUCCACCCGGGCCUCAGGGCCUCCUCUCAGCACCCAGGAGCCCGACAGGUGGAGCAUUAAGCAGAGGCUGUCACGAGGGUCAGCAGGGAAGCCGCCACAACUGGCCAUCUGCCCAGAUCUCUUGACUUCAGCAUGUGGAUGACGCCGCGUGCUGGAUGAGCUAUGGUGGUAAGUGGGAGUCAGAGGACCCCGGGACAGGCCAUCACCAGGCCGGCAGAAGUUACUCUGCUUCCUGGAGAAAGGGGUGUGCUGGCAGCACCCCAUGCUUAGAAGGGGCAUGCCAAGGAGCGCUGGGCAGAGGGGGCCACUGGGCACAGGAUUUCACAGCAGGGGUCAGCGGAUGUGCAGCCCCGAGGCUGGCAGAUGUGCUGGGAAUGGAAUUUGUGUGUUUUACCCAUUAUAGCCCUUCCUGUUCUGUCGCAGCGUCUUCUAUUCUGCAAGAAGUUGUUCUAAGUUGUACAGAGCUCACUUCUCCUGGGCAGAGGGGGCCGUGCUGCGUUCAGGUGUUGGUGGCUGUGUUCUGCAGUGUCUGCAUCUGCUCUGCCUGGGGGCAAGGGGGAAGGGAGGGGUAUCGAGGGACUCUGCUCUCCUGGCUUUCAGAAGCUCCCCUCCCAGCCUCCCACCUGCCCCAGAAAGGCUGUGGACCAGUGCUGGGAGCCAUUAGCCAAGUAAGUAUGACAAUUUCCUUGCCAGCGUACCCCAUGUUGCAGUGACAUUGAAUGUACUUAACCUUGCUCAAGGACCAAGGCAGAUUAGGGUGUUCCCGGUUUUAAGAUAAUCUUGUUUAGGGCGUUCCCAGUUUAGGUUCCAGGUUUAAGGUUUAAGAUUAUUCCUGCUGGGAAUAGGGCGUAUCCUGCUGCCUGAGUUCCCCUUGAGUUCUCACGGGAUUCAGACAGUAUAUUUUGGAGAUAGAAGCCCAGUGGAGGUGGAUUUGGGCAGAGAACGUGGAUUUGGGCAGAGAACGUGGAUUUCCCCAGAACGUGAUUGUAGACGGCUGGUGUGAGUUCGGGAAUAAAGAGUUGCUGUUUGAAUCUACAAGCUGUGUGGUGGCUCGUGAUUGUGUGCCCAGCCAGACUGCGGCAUUUGUGCCCAGCCAGACUGCGGCAGACCAGGGAGGACGUCCCAGAGGUCUGGAGCUGUCUCCCUGGGCUGCACUUUUCUGAUUCUUUGGAUAGUCAUUGCUGCCUUAGAAGCAGUGAACACAAGUUUAGAUGAACGUUUUCCAAACUGGCAUAGUACAGUCCUUAAGGAGGAGGCAUUGGACCACAAAAUUGAAGCAGGUUCUCCCUUGCAGGGCAUCCCAGAGUCCUCCAAAUGCUCUUGGCAGGGGUCAUUCCAGUGAGGUGUGCACUUCGGAAUGUGCUGGCCCCAGGAAGGCCUCUGUCUUCACAACGUGUCUAUGACCAACCCGCCCCAGCUGGCGUGUGGAGCUGGCAGUCAACCCUGCAGUCUCCCUGGCAGCCGACCACUGGACGGCAGUGGCAGCAGUGGGCCACAGCUACCUUGGUGGCACCCAGAGAAAAGACCUCCUUGCGUCGGCUGUAAAGGCAGUGUCCUUGGCGUCAGCAAAGGCCCACUUGCUAGUUUUCAUGUGCAACUGGGGCUCGUUGUUUUUUUCAUAUCCUUCAUUAUAUUUUCUCACUUUCUAAUUGUUAGCUUUGGGAAGUAUUAUUUUAUUGGACAACCGUGGCUUUCUUCAUCCAUUCUCAGGGUCUAUUACUUUAAUUCCGUCUAUAACAUUUUAUGUCAUUUGGAGUGUACUUUAUUUCUCCUAGUUUUUUUAAGAUAAACACCUAAUUCAUUUUUAUUCAUAUUUUUAAAUAAUAGAAGACUCCAAAGCUAUGAAUCGUCUCUGAGUUCAAUGUCAAUUAAAUUCUAUGAAUUUUGAUGUGUGCUUUAUAUUUUUUUCUCUUUUUUCAGUAAUCCAGUUUCAAGUGUUUACCUCUUUGGCACAAGAAACACAUUUUUAGAGGCAUGUUUUUGUUGCAUUUUAAGCAAGAGAUAUUAAUUGUGCCACAUAAUGGUAAGUGCUGUAGAGCAUAAAUGUGCAACAAGGCACAGGGCUGUCCAGGCCCUGGAUGCCAGGAGCUGGAUGCUAGGCAGACACCCGGGUGCCCAUGGGGAGGUGUCCCAGGAGAGACAGGGGAGGUGCUAGGGGACAUGGGUCUCCUGGGUGGUGGAGGCAGCCUUGGGGCUUGCUGGGGCCCAGCGUCUGCAGGCACUCACCUUGUGCAGACCGUUAGACCUGUGCAAGGUGCAGAGGCUGCUGGUCCUCACGGCAGACUGUAAAGCCAUUGGCAUCACCACCACCUCCACUUUCAGAUGGGGAAACCGAAGCAUGGGAGGGGAAGUGCUGGCCCCGGUCAGAAGCUAGCUAGCCACAGUCAGGGCUCAAGCCGGAAGCCUGCCGAGGUGUGCGGCGGUGCUGCUCAGCACUGCCCUUGAAGUCGGUAUGGUGGUCACUGGAUCUGACCUCCCACCCUGCUCUCCUUUUCACAAGGAGAAGGGGAGUCGAGGAGAGGCCUUGCUGCUGUCCAUCACUGUUCACUGUCCCUGGCUGGUGCAGCAGGGGCCAGAAGCUCUGGGCUCCCAGGUGGGCCCUCUGCACACUGGGCUGGGGACUCCCUUCUCCGACCCUGUCAUCUUGAGCAGCCAAAGUCUCAGCCGUGUUUCCCCACAGCAGUUACUGGCCACAGUCUACAGGCCAGGGGCAGAUUAGAGGGCUGCUCACAGGGUGGUGGAGCCAGCUUGGGCCACGCCCUUGGGAGGUGGCACAGGGAGGUGAGGGGCAGGAGAGGCGCAGGAGCACCAGGCUCCUCAGGGGCCACCCAGCACACCUUCCUUCCCUCCCUUCCCUGUGGCAGGCCAGCUGGGCUCCCAGCCCUGCCCUGUGGCUGAGAAAACAGGCCCUCCCUGAGGUUAGGGACCUGCCAGGUCCCGGUGAACUGAGCCCCAACUUCUAGACGUCUUCUCGAACCUGCAUCCUCCACUUCAGAAGAUUCAGGAGGCAGGGCUCUGAGGGAAACUGGGUGGGGCUCCCUGGCCUCUCCCUCCUGGCUGGGUGGGGCUCCCCACCAUCUCCCUCCUGGAUGGCUGGGAGGCUCUCUUUCCUGCUUAUGGUCUGAAGUGUUUGUAGAAAGUUCUUCUGAAACAGUCCCAUUAACUGAACCCCGUUGGCUGGAAGCCACACCUGUUCUAUGGUGGGGUGGGAAAGGGCUGCUGACCUCCCAGGUGGGACCCUGGGAGAGGCUCACUGGGGCAGGGCUGGCAUCUGUGCUGCAGAAGGGCUUGUGGCCCGGUCUGAGCUAUCAGAGGGCCAGCUGGAAAGUGAGGGGAAGCGGCUGCUGGCCAUAUGGGGAACAGACAGCGUCCGACGAGGCACCUUACUGCAGCAAAUGCUCAUGUCACUCGGAGCGUGUGCCCCGUCAGUCUCUCCCCACAUGUGUAAGCUCUUUAUUAGAUUAUUUAACAACUGAGCUUGUUGUUAGCUUUGCCAUGAAUCACUUGAAUAAUGCACAUGACUCAACCUUUAGGUGUGUUGAGACACAUUUUUGCAAUAAAGAUAUCGAGUUCAUCCAAACAACUACUUCCUAAGGCUCUGUCCCUCCGUGGGGCUUCACUGAUGGGGUAUGGGAAGACAGCGGUUGCCCUGAGUGUCUCCGUGAACUCUGGAUGCCAGGCAGAGGCCACGACCCCUCCACGGGCUCUUGGGCAGCUUCACACUCUCCAGCCCCGACUGAUGGAUCCAAUGACUCGGCGUUGUGCUGUGAAGCGGCUCGAGGAACCGCACUCAGGCGGAGGAACGAGGGCAGGCUGCGUUUAGGAUCUAAAGCUCUUCAUAUGGUUCUCAGGAGCGAGUCCUCAGAGAGAGCUGAACUGUGGUGGUCAGACACUGAGCCCCUGCUCCUGGGGAUGAUUCCGACCACCAUGUUCCCUCCGCCCAUGAUGAGCGGAGGCCGCAGGCCUGGCACGGAGGGCCUCUCCCGACUCUCAGCCAUGGGGAGCUCCCCUGCAGGCCUCACAGGUGGCCUGGGGUGUGGCCGCCUGAGACCCUCUGCCCGGCUGGCGCUCUGGGCCCUCCCAGGCUGGAGCACCUCGGCCUUUGCUUCUCUGAGCCUCUGUCCUGUGUCGGGGGAGGCACAGCGAGUCUAGGAACCGUGGAAGUGGCUCAAAGUAUACGGAGAUCUCUUCCGGACGUGGUCUUGCUCUCCCCGUUGGCUUUCAACAUGCGCCUCUGGGGUGGACACUCCCAGCUGGCAGGGCACCGACACAGGCACACGUGCCCCCGUGAGAGGAAGAGAGGGGGCGGAGGGGCUUCAUGUUGGGGUGGAACAUCUCAGAGGGCAGGGGAAGGCCUCCGAGGCCCUGCUCCAAGACCUGGGCAUCCACGAGACACACGGGAACCGGAGUCCGACGGGACCCUCCACCCCCUCUCCGAGCCGACGGACCUGUCGUGCGGUGUGGGACCGAUCGGUCUCGUCGCCCUGUGUCGGAGAGUGUCGACGCAUCUGGUCGACAGACCUCCUCCACCGUCGUCCCAGCGCGGGGGACUUCCGAGAACCCUCCCAGGAAGGACGGAGGAACCGGAGACCACCGGGGUCCUCAGGGGUAGAGACGGAAGUGAACCGGUGUCUGGGUGAAAACAUGGAACCGGGACACAGAAUGCUCCUGUGUCCAGAACUCUGUAUCCCGGUGAAACCUACUAGGUCUUCUAUCUAGGGUAGAUCCCUAGGAAUAGAAUUAGUGUAUCACUUCUUGAAAAAAAGGAUUGUUUCCGUGUAAGUGUCCAAGUCCAUCCAUGUACUAACAGGGUUACCGUCUGUUCUCCCGGGAUCGUCCGUCUCCACCCACUUCCAGGUGUGUCCUACAGUGCGUCACCUCCGGUCCGACGGGUACGCUACGCGGAGACGGGACGUACGUGGACCCGGCGGCUCUCCCGGGACCUGUCAACACGAGGAGGUUCGGGUCCCUCCUGCCGGAGUGCGUGGGAGACGCGUCGCGCACCAGGUACCACCUUCCGGUCGACGUACGAGUGCCGACGGGAAGUACGGGUGAUCCGGGGAAGCCGGUGUGAGGAGGACAGCAGUGCCCCUGGCUUCUGGAGCUGUCACAGGACGGACGGGCUUCCCAAAGUGUCCUCUCUAGGAUGGACCUCUGCUCCAGGGACCCUCCCUGGUGCCCCAGUCCCACAGAGGGUCUAACAUCCUCUGUCAGAAAUGCCCACGGCUCCUGGCUCCACAGAGCACCCGAAGCCCGCAUGCUGAGCUGUGGGCGUGCUCCUGCCGAGGGGCAGCAGGUGGGCUGUGGGUGUGCUCCUGCCGAGGGGCACCGCUGUGUCUCUGUUACUCACUCAGAGGAUUUUGAGGUGCCCUCGCUGUGAGCCACCUGGACAGAGGACCCAGACCCGCGUUGGUGAACUUGAGCCUCCAUGAAUGUCUGGCUGGCUUAUCUCACAGGACUCAUGGAGCACAUUUUCCCAGGGCCUGGGGAAGAAGAUGGUCAGCAGGCGUAGAAGGAAGAGACCACACUGAUGACACAGGAGCCUUUGAGAGUAGCCCAGAGGGAGGGUGAGACCGGCCGGAGCUGGACUGGGCUGGAGUGGGGCAUCAGGUGAGGCCAGCAGGAGAGCUGGGGCCAGGGAGGGACACCUGUCAGGAGGUCACUGCCGUGGCCCUGUGUGAGGGUGGAGGCAGCGUUGUCCUGGUGACAGCUCCACAUGCCCUGGUCAGGGUCAGGCUCUCCCUGGCCUGUGGCCUUGGCUUCCUGUCCUCUUACCUGUAGACUGACUUCCUUGCUAGCAGUUUGUUGGAUUCCGCGGUUCUGAUCAGGUUAGCCAUUUGCACCUCUCGCCUGGAGUGUGAAGGUCAUUUGUUCUUGGUGUGACCUUCGGUGCGGUCAGCUCUGGUCUUCCACGUUGCCAGGGUCCUCUGUUGGCUCCGUCGCCAUUCCUUUCUCACCCUCCUUUGGAUUAUUAAACUGUUUUCCUGGUAUUUUGUUUGACCCCUUCUGUUGAUUCCCAGUGAUUUCUUUCUGUGCUUCUGUUACAGCUGUAGAAUCACAGCAUGCGUCGUGGCCUAGCGGCGUCCCGGAGGAGCUUGCCCUCGACCACAAGGCCCAAGACUGAGAAUCUGGACUCCUCUGCAGUUUUACUUCAAAGACAUACAAGCCUGCUCUUCGUUGCUCUUAAUUUACCAGUGCUUGCCUUGAAGUCAUCAAAAGGAAAGAGGACUGCCCACCCACCCACCCCCUGGGCCCCUCCUGGAGGGUUCCUGCAGCUCCGCCUCCUCUGGAUAAGAGCCCCGAUGGCCUUCUGGCCCACGAGUGCGUUGGCUGCACACUCUCCCCACUCCCACUCUUUGGGAAAUGCCUUUGUCCCCCUUCGUUGGGUCCAUUUGUCUUGGGGUGGCAGGAUUUAUUCUCAGCUCUGGACACAUCGUUCCUUGUCCUCUGACAGCUUUGUUCCGCAUGAGAAAUCCAUGCUGCUCCUUCUCGGGGCUCUCCUGUGCAUGAUGGAUAUUUUUCUCCUGAUGGUUUUUAGAUUUUUCUUUAUCUAUGGUUUUCAUGAAUUCAACUAUGAUGUGCCUAGAUGUAAUUUUAUUUGAAUUUAUUAUAUUUGGCAUUUAUUAAGUUUCUUGAAUUUGUGGGUUUUUUCCCCAUCAAAUUUGAUAAAUUCCCAGUGACUGUAUCUUAUCUUGUUCUCCACCCCGUGAUUCUUUUCUCCUUCGGGAAAUUUAUUUCUGCAUGUCAUAGAUGACUUGAAAUUCCCCCAAUGUUGCUGACUCUAUGUUUGCUUAUGUUCCAGCAAUGUUUUGGAUUUUUUUUUUUUUAUUUUAGAAAACUUUUACAUUUGUGGAAUUACUGCAAAAGGACCACGUCCCUCCAGCUGCACGCGGGUUGUCCUACAUCAGUUUGGUCACGGGGCACAGUUGCCAACAGGUCUCCACACAUUGUUACUAGUCUCUCGACACAUUGUUACUAGUCUCCCCACACACGCCAUCCCGUCUACCCCAGGAGCCCAUCUGGAAUGCGGUCGUGCAUCCAGCUGUCCUGUCCCUAUGGUCUCCUCUUGAUGGUGACGCUUGCAGAUCCACCUUGUUCAUGGCGACCUUCGACUGGUCAGGUAUCCUGGGAGCUCCCUGCAGUGGUCAGGCCGGGUAGUAUGUCUAGAGGAAGACAGCGAGGACGAGGUCCCUGGUGUCCCUGCUGUCCUGACUCCUCACUGCCCAUGCUGUCUUGGUCCAGAGUGAGGGGGGUCGGUCAGUUUCUGCAGGUGGCUACUGUUUCUUUCCCUCCACUUGCAAACUGCUGUCCUUUGGGGAGUCACUUAGGCACAGCCCACACUUGAGGAGCCAGGGACACCCCACAGAGGGUCUUCCACACAGGACACAGUUGCUCUCUCCAAUUGAUUUGCUUAUUCACUUCAUCAUGUAUUAUUGUCUGGGUGGCUCCUGGGUAUGCAUUUCAUACUCUGGUUAUACGGGGUGGUAUUGAUUUUCCUGCUCCAAUCACCCUAGCUUUGGUGACGGGGAGUUCUCCCGACUGAUCCCUAAUCCCUCUGCCCAUCCCCAUCGUGGGGUUGGUUGGAACACGUCCUCUCUGGGGCUCUUCCUGUGUGUUUCCUGCCCCUUGUUCACACACACGUCUGUUCUGCUGCCGUCUGUGGCCCUCGGUGUCUGCGCCUCAUAGCCCACCAAGGCUGUCCUGUGCGCUUCACUCUGUGUGCAGCAGGUUUUCUCUCUUCUGAAGCUUCGAUCCCUUCUGCCGAUUCUCUUCUGUGGGUCUCUCUGCAGGGAAGCCAUCGUGGGCUUGAGCUUCCAGACACCGUGUCCUGGGUUCGCAGUGUCUGCUCAGUCACUCCUACUGCCACCCACUGCGCCUCCUGUUCUGCGAGUUCCUCGCCGUACCUGCUCCCUGCAUCUCUUGACCUACCUGCGGCUUCCUGGUGUCUUGGGGUCUCCCCCAUGUGGUCUGGGCACCGUCCUGAAGGAAGGGAGAUGGAGGUCUGGCUCUCCUUUCCGCUCCUCCCCAGGUGGCGGCAGGCGGUCAUUCCUGCUUGCUAGAGUGGUCUGAGCUGGCCGGGGAUGGCGGCUCCAACCAGGUGGAGCUCACUGUGGUCAUCACUGAGGUCAGCCCAGUGGACAGAUACUUUUCUGAUCUGGGAGGGAGGUGGGCUGAAGCUUCAGAUAUUUCUAACUCAACAUUAAAUUCAAUCCUAGAAGAACCAUGGAAUCCGAGCCCAACAAGAAAGAGCAACAUCAAAAUCUCCCUGACCAGCCUGUGUCUAGCAAUGUUUUGGGGGGCAAUCUUGAGGGGACAGUGAUUGGAGGAAUCCCUGGGCCGAUGCUCAGGCUUUGCCUCCGAGGUAUUGCAGAUGACUCCAGGUGGCACAUGUCUCCCCGGGCCCUCCCCGUCCCCGGCCAUGACCCUGCAGGUCUGCGAAGCUUCUGCACCUAAGCACUUGUCCAGCUGUGGCGCCCGCCGCGGGUCUGCCGUCCACCGUGAGGCUCUUCAGUUGCUGAAUUCAGUCCAUCGAGCUUCCUUGCCUCUGCCACUCUUUGUCAGCUCCUGUCUUAAUUUUGUCUGAUUUUAAAUUUCUAUUGCUAAUUAGUGAAAGGCAUUAAGGGUGAUUUUUGCCUCUGAUUUUAAAACUACUUUGCACUAGGGGGUAUGCAUCCUGGUGUCCAGAGUCACCAACUGAUCAAGGUGGUGGUCAAGGGGACACUGAAGAGGGAGGUCCUCCCACUCUUUCCCACAUGGUGAUGCUCUUCUCAAAUACGACUGAGCCAAACAGAAAAUCCCAGGUAACAAUAAAUGAAUGACUCUACAAAAUUAGUUCUUUUUUAGCACACUCAGUUUUGAAUAUAAGUUAUGAAUGGCACAGUGACCUUCAUAGGAAGUAGAGAGUAGGGAAACAGAAACCCGCUGCUUGGCUUCCACUGUCAGGAUCCUAGGAUGGUUGUGCUCAGUGUCCUUUAUUUUUUUAAAUUUUAUUCUAAUCAACAGAUACUAUUUGUACCUACUUCCGGGGUGCAAUGUUGUAAUUCAAACCCGUGCACAGCCUAGAAACCCCAGGCAGGGCCAUCGGCACAUCCAUGUCCUCAAGUACCAUGUCCAUGUGCGUAAGGACUUGCAUAGAUGUCAUUACCCUCCUGCACUCUGGGACGUCAGAGUUACUUCGUGUCUAGCUGGACUUUGGUCCUCAUUACCCCCUAUUCUUCCCACCCUCCCAGGCCUCUGGUGAUCUCCAUUUUACUUUCUUCUUCAAUGUAAUCAACAUAUUUUUUAGCAUCCACUAUUUAACAAGAAUCUUACAAACUGAAUGUAAUUUGAGUACUUAAAAUACGCAAGUUUAUUUAGAUACAUCACUGCAUCAUGAAUUUGUUUCUGAACUCUUCAAGUUCCAUUUUUGUGAGAUGGAUGUCAGUAGAAUACCAAAACCAGUGUCUAAAAGUCCUUUGGAGCUUUCUAAAAUUGAUUAGUAACAUGGGGAAAGCAGUGUUGGUGGAGGGUGGCACUUGGCCUCUCAGUCUCUCCUUGAUUUAGCUAAGAACUGAGACGGUGGAAUUGAAGGGUCCCCAGACUACGUGGAUCUGCAGGUGGGCAGGCAUUUUCAAAGGAAAAACAGAUGGAAAGUAUUCUUCAUAUGUAUUUAUUUCAUGAAGGUGAAAUGUCUGUUUGUGGACUAUGUUUUCACAGGAGUCUAAGUAUUUUUGUGACAAUCACCUUGAGCUUACAGGUUAGGGGGUGCUGCAGGGGGUCGCAUGAGCUCAUGGUGGUGAGGGCCCCCUCCAGGGUUCGUGCCUUGAGCACAGAGUCUCUAUGUGGUGUGCUGUUCGUGUUUCCCUUGCUACACACUUGAGGAAGCAUGCGUCCAGGCCACAGUGGGGGACCAGGGUGCGGAAGUGGCUCACUGGCCAGAUCUGCCCACAGACGCCUUCCUGGUAAGCAGACAGGAACUGAGCUGGUGUUCCUUCCUGACAACGAGAUGCCCAGUCCAGUGUGUGUGCCUGACCUGGUGCUGAGGCCCACGCCUGUGCAGUGGGCUCACAGCCUCUGCAGGGCCUGUGUGGACGCUGCUCUGUGGGUUGGCGAGGAGGACCAGAGAGGCCGGUCGUGGGAAGGCCAGCCAGAGCAGCACUUCCGAGGCCCGGGCCCUGUCUGGGCACGCGGGACUUCACACACUCUUUGGGAAGGACCGCGUGCUGUAUUUUCAGACUUAGCUGCAGCUGCCGUGAUCUCAGGCUGCUGUCCUCACCCUGGUGUCUGAUCACACAUUCAGAAUACCCGGCAGAGGCACAUCUGCUGCCCCAUGUCAGUAAAAGUGACAAGAAAUUGUUUUUGCUUAUUUAAAAACUAUUCAAUCACUUCUUAUAUUUAGGUUGUAAUAGAUCUUUUUAUAAAAAUCCAGAAUUGAUGAGCCAUGCCUGCUGGGUGGUCUGCUGGGGUGAGGGCUUUGGGGAGCGCUGGCCUAGGUACACAUACUUACUAGCAGUGGAGGUCCUCACAGAAGCCAACGGCGGCCUGGACCAGGAGGCGUCAGGAGCAGGUCACACCCUCACUCAUGGCCCUGCUGUGAAUGCUGGGAGAGGACGGUGCCCAGGGCCGUGGAGAAAGAGAGAACAGGUCGCCUCGGGGCCCGUCACACAGCAGGAGGGCGAAAGAGGAGCCACCUUGGAGUGCAGCACAGCCUGGUGCUGUACUACCCAGACUGUUAGAAUCUUCC